GUAGACGUUAGCUCAGUGGUUAAAGCACAGGCCUCUGGAUCUCGGGUCCGCGAGUUCGAGUCCCGUCGUCUACU
rnacentral:tRNA from 1 species